rnacentral:rRNA from 1 species
UACGAGAGGCCCAAACGUUAUUCGGAAUUACUGGGCUUAAAGAGUUCGUAGGCGGCAUUGCAAGUAGGGUGUGAAAGCCCUCGGCUCAACCGAGGAAUUGCGCUCUAAACUGCAGUGCUUGAGGAACCUAGAGGUGAGCAGAACAGAUGGUGGAGCGGUGAAAUGCGGUGAUAUCGAUCUGGAAUACCGGAGGCGAAGGCGGCUCACUGGGAGUUUUCUGACGCUGAGGAACGAAAGCCAGGGUAGCGAACGGG